UGGAUCCAGACUUUGAUCCUGGCUCAGGACGAACGCUGGCGGCGUGCCUAACACAUGCAAGUCGAGCGGGGAUCGCCAGAGGAAGCCUUCGGGUGGAAUUGGGUGAUUCUAGCGGCGGACGGGUGAGUAACGCGUGAGCAAUCUGCCUUUCACAGGGGGAUAACACACCGAAAGGUGUACUAAUACCGCAUGAGACCACAGUGGGGACAUCCCAUAGGGGUCAAAGGAGAAAUCCGGUGAAAGAUGAGCUCGCGUCUGAUUAGCUGGUUGGUGAGGUAACGGCCCACCAAGGCGACGAUCAGUAGCCGACCUGAGAGGGUGAUCGGCCACAUUGGAACUGAGAGACGGUCCAAACUCCUACGGGAGGCAGCAGUGGGGAAUAUUGGGCAAUGGGGGAAACCCUGACCCAGCGACGCCGCGUGAAGGAAGAAGGUUUUCGGAUCGUAAACUUCUAUCCUUGGUGAAAAUGAUGAUGGUAGCCAAGAAGGAAGCCCCGGCUAACUACGUGCCAGCAGCCGCGGUAAUACGUAGGGGGCAAGCGUUGUCCGGAAUGAUUGGGCGUAAAGGGCGCGUAGGCGGCCUUUUAAGUCUGAAGUGAAAGUCCUGCUUUUAAGGUGGGAACUGCUUUGGAUACUGGAAGGCUUGAGUGCAGGAGAGGUAAGCGGAAUUCCCGGUGUAGCGGUGAAAUGCGUAGAGAUCGGGAGGAACACCAGUGGCGAAGGCGGCUUACUGGACUGUUACUGACGCUGAGGCGCGAAAGUGUGGGGAGCAAACAGGAUUAGAUACCCUGGUAGUCCACACUGUAAACGAUGAAUGCUAGGUGUAGGGGGUAUCGACCCCUUCUGUGCCGGAGUCAACACAAUAAGCAUUCCGCCUGGGGAGUACGGCCGCAAGGUUGCAACUCAAA
rnacentral:rRNA from 1 species